GCCACACACAGAUGUAACGUUAUCUUACCUGAUGUCUUUUAUCCAGCGACUCCUGGUCUUUUUUUAUCAGCCGGGGAGCGAAAGAACAAGCGAGACCCGUUGCUGUUGUGAGUACAACCCAGUAGGAAACACACAGGCAUCGUAGCUUCAGCGAG